AGUGCUGAGGGCGGGGAUGGACUGUGUGAUUUGCAUCUACCAAAUGCAGAAAAUUUGGAAGGUCAGUUGGUACACUUUUCCGACCCUAGAUUUCCUGAUGGAUGAUGCUGAAGAGUGGCAAGUUCCUGCCAAAAACAAACAAACAAAAAAACUACCAUGAUUUAUUAAUAUUAUUUUUCUAACCCCUGAAUAUGGGUUAUUGUUCAUCUCUGCCCGCUUUCCCCACUCCCUAGUGCUUGUCUCAGAAUUUUUUUUUUCAGCGGGUAUUUGAGUAGAGAAGGGUGUCCCAGGGAAAAAAAUGGUUCUUGCUUUCUCUAAUCUGAAUGUUGAGCUGAGCUGUGACUGGGCUAACAGUAGCGUUUGUUGUUGCUGCUGCUGCAGCUUGUUUCAAGUAGUGCCAUUGUAAUUAAACUCCGUGAAGAGAUAGCAUCUUUUCUUCCGGAGAGAGUCAGUGUUGUCACCUCAGUUCACGAAUUCAUGUAGCCAUCUCCAGGAUGAAAUGCAGCCCCUAUUCCCUCAGACAUUUAUGCAGCCAAAAAACAUAUGAAAAAAAGCUCAUCAUCACUGGUCAUUAGAGAAAUGUAAAUCAAAACCACAAUGAGAUACCAUCUCAUGCCAGUUAGAAUGGCGAUCAUUAAAAAGUCAGGAAACAACAGAUGCAGGAGAGGAUGUGGAAGAAUUAAGUACUGAUACAUACUACAACAUGGAUGAAUCUUUAAAGCAUUAUGCUAAGUGAAAGAAGCCAGUAACAAAGGACCACAUAUAAUAUAAAAUAUCAGGCUGGGU
rnacentral:lncRNA from 1 species